rnacentral:lncRNA from 1 species
CUUGCUUGGCCUCUUGUGAGUCCUGGAGGGAACGCUGCAGUGGGGGCUAGUUGUGGGCAGAAUAAAGGUGGUUUCUGGAAAUAUGGAUUCCUGCCAGAGUGAGUGCUGCUUAGGUCUGUACAACGGACACUUGGUCAUGUGUACGCUAAACUUCUUUGUGCCUGAGAAUCUCUCUCCUGCAGCUUCCAGAUGCAGGGAUUGAUGGACUCUAAAUAAGGAAGUUAAGUUUUAUGUGCCUUCUUGUGAUGAAGAUGGAUCCUCACACUUAUACUGUGCUUUAAGAAAGAUGAAAUAAAGACCAAAUCUCUGGAUAUAUGGUGAACAAGAGCUGUGAGAAGACUCUGAGGCCUUAGGAAAUGGGAAAGCUACCGGUCAAAAGGAUCCUGGCCCCUGAAUAACUGCACAGCUCUUUGCUGGUCUGCACUGGGAUGCGAUGUAACUGAUAAAUAAACAUUUCUUAUGUUAAAC